UACGUAGGGUGCAAGCGUUGUCCGGAAUUAUUGGGCGUAAAGAGCUCGUAGGCGGUCUGUCGCGUCGGAUGUGAAAAUCCAGGGCUCAACCCUGGACCUGCAUUCGAUACGGGCAGACUAGAGUUCGGUAGGGGAGACUGGAAUUCCCGGUGUAGCGGUGAAAUGCGCAGAUAUCGGGAGGAACACCAGUAGCGAAGGCGGCACUCUGGGCCGGUACUGACGCUGAGGAGCGAAAGCGUGGGGAGCAAACAGG
rnacentral:rRNA from 1 species